UUAAAUAUUUAUUUAUAAAGUUUCUUGUAAAAGAGAAUUAAAAGGGAAGGAGGCGAAAAUCCUCCACGGUCCGGCCACUGUAAUUGGUGAGUUUAUUCCAUAAGCCAUUGAGAUAUUCUUGAGAAGGCGGAAAUAAAUGAUGAACCAUAAGUCAGGAGACCUGCUUUAUAAGAAUAAAUAUAC
rnacentral:ncRNA from 16 species